ACGAACGCUGGCGGCGUGCUUAACACAUGCAAGUCGAACGGUAAGGCUCCAGCUUGCUGGGGUACACGAGUGGCGAACGGGUGAGUAACACGUGGGUGACCUGCCCUGCACUUCGGGAUAAGCCUGUGAAACUGGGUCUAAUACCGGAUAGGACCGCACCGUGAGGGUGUGGUGGAAAGUUUUUUCGGUGUGGGAUGGGCCCGCGGCCUAUCAGCUUGUUGGUGGGGUAAUGGCCUACCAAGGCGGCGACGGGUAGCCGGCCUGAGAGGGUGGACGGCCACAUUGGGACUGAGACACGGCCCAGACUCCUACGGGAGGCAGCAGUGGGGAAUAUUGCACAAUGGGCGGAAGCCUGAUGCAGCGACGCCGCGUGGGGGAUGACGGCCUUCGGGUUGUAAACUCCUUUCACCAUCGACGAAGGGUUUCUGACGGUAGAUGGAGAAGAAGCACCGGCUAACUACGUG
rnacentral:rRNA from 1 species